UUGGCCCAACCCAAACACAGCGACGCAGCGAUGCGGGGAGCCAGACAGGAGCGACCGGGUGUCUGGUCUCGUGCGCGAGUAGCAGACCGAAUCCCCUUUCCCCUUUCCCUAACCUAGCGCUAGUUGAGGCUCCGGCGGCGGUGGCGAGCGAUUCUGGUCCGACAGCCGGCCUUCUCCUCUCGCCUCUCCCUCAGUUCCUCCCCUCCACUCCGGCCAUCUCCCUCCCCAGCUCCCCUCCCCUCCGUCCGUCCCUCUCCUCCAAUCCUCCGCGACUCCGCCAGGCGCCAGGCGCCAGGCCGCCAGUCCGCCUCCGGCUUCCCCAGCACGGCGACUGCCGGCAGCGCCCUCCGUCGAUAGUACGACCUCGGUUCAGCGCCGUCCCGCAGCAGCAGGCAGCAGGUCCGGCGACAGCGCCGUCCAGCAGCAGCAGGCAGCAGAUGAAGAAGAAGGAUGUUAGCAUAUUUGAAAUGUGGGACAAAUCUUCAAGACAAGGAAAAUAACUUCUACGUCCACACCAACUUCUCUUUCCGUUGAGCUGGAGAGCAAUCUGCAGCUAGCACUAGUGCAAAGAUAUGACGAAGCUCCGCAACCGGAGAGGGAGACAACUCCAAUUGUAGAAGAUGAUGAAGCGGUCGAUGAAGAUGAUGAAUCAAUGCCCCAAUUUGAAGCAGAUUUGGCAGCUCUGGAACGUGAUCCCGGCAAGCGACUUCCCAUUUCUUCGUAUCAUGCCAAUGACCAAGUAGAGUUAGAAGGAGAUGCAUUGACUUGGGUGCUUGUCAACCAAAGGAUCAUAAGUUUGAGAUCAGAGAUUUUAGUGGACAUCCCCGUCGCUUUUGCCCUACUUGGUUUAAGCAUCAUAAGUGGCUUGAGUAUAGUGUGCAAGAAGAGGCUGCUUUCUGCUUUGUUUGCUACUUGUUCAAGGAUAAAACAAAAAGUCUCGGAGGAGAUGCAUUUGUGAACGUUGGGGCUCUCACUACAGAAUGUCAACCAUGUUAUCUCUAUGUAUCCGGCAAUAAGGCGUGUUCUCAUAAGGAUUGCAAAAGAGUAUAUAAUGGCACAGAGGCAGUAGCAGCAAUGACUAUGUUGACAUCAUUUCAGACAUUUGAAUUUGUUUUCAUGGCACACUUGAUGCAAGAAAUAUUUGAAUACACCGAUGACUCGGGUAGAGCUUUGCAAAAGAAAGAUUAAGAUAUUGUUAAUGCUAUGGAGAUUGUUGAUCUCACAAAGCUGCACUUGCAAUGCUUGCGAGAAGAUGAAGGGUGGAAUGAUUUUCUUGAGAAUGUCACUUCUUUUUGUGUAAAGCACAAGAUCAAAAUUGUUGACAUGGAGGCUCCUUACUAUCCUGCUGGGAGACCAAGAAGAGGGUGCUUCAAUGGCACAAAGAAUUACCAACGUUUCAAGGUUGAAACGUUUGUGGGUGUCAUUGAUAGGCAACUUCAAGAGCUGAAUGCAAGAUUUGAAGAGGUAAACACUGAACUACUUGCAUGGCAGCAUUCAGUCCACAUGAUUCAUUUGAUGCUUAUGAUAAAGAGAAGUUGGUUAGGCUUGCUAGAAAGUUUUAUGCUAAGGAUUUUACAAAUGAUGAAUUGUCAAGACUUCCAUGGCAAUUAAGCAUGUUCAUUUCUCAUGUGCGUAAGGAUAAAAGGUUUAGCAAGUUGAAGAAUCUAUGUGAGCUUUCAGUUUUGAUGGUUGAGACAAGAAAGAAAGAACAAUAUUAUAUCGUUUACAAACUUCUUAAGUUGGUUUCAUUCUUCCGGUAGCCACUGCUAGCGUUGAGAGGGUAUUUUCCUCGAUGAAAUACGUGAAGAAUUCACUAAGAAACAAAAUGGGUGAUGAAUAUUUGAACAAUUUCUUGGUUACAUUCGUUGAGAGAGAAUUCUUCAGGCAAGUGAAAGAUGAGGAUGUCAUCAAUCUCUUCCAGAAAGGGAUCGUAAAAUUAUAUUGUAAUUUUCUUUGCUAUUUGUAAUUUUUCUUAAUUGUUAGAGAUAUUGCGACAAUGAUAUUUUGCUACUAUUAUUGAUGUAUGGUCAUUGAGUCAUUAAUGUUAUCAUCUUGUUGUACAUUUAUUGUUCUAUUGUGUUGCUUUGGCAUAAAAAAAUUAAAAGAAUACCCAUCAGCAAAUUCCUGGCUCCGCCACUAGUGGGAUGGUCUCAACGAGGUCAUGUUCACCGACCCCCCAACCAGCUGGGGUGUGGCAUACUGUGAAACAGCAUCCACAGGGUCAUGUUCAUCGAGCGCCAACAGCCUACAACCGCGAUGAGGUACUGUUCAUCGAACGCCAACUGCCUACGACCGUAAUGGCCUCCCCUGUUUGUUUGGA